GGCGCCUGAUGGCAGAGUGGCUAAUGCUCUGGCGCUAGGUGCCACAGAUUUCGGGUUCGAAUCCCGGCGGUGCUA